ACCCUGUACUUACUCACUAUCAUAAUUUAUGAGAAUGACAAAUUUUUAGAAAUAAGCAAAUUGACAUCUCUAACUCUGACUUCUCUGUCUAAACUACUGUUGCUUGAAUUUCCCAAAAUAUCUGAACUCAAUAUAUCUGAACCUAACUCAUAACCUCUCUUUGGCAAGCCUGUUGCUGCUUUCCUAUUUUUACUAUUCUAUCUCAGGGCCUUAUUCAAAGCUCAAGCCUGGAUUAUCAGGACAGUUUUGCUAAUUCACUGCUCUACUUUGUCUCUCCUUCGAAACCAUUUUUACCCACUACCAUGAAAAUGGCUCUCUAGAAUCUUUAUCGGACAAAGGUAAAAUUUCUCAAUUCAUUAUUACCAACCUUCUAAAAUCCAGCUUCAAUCUGCCUUUCUUCAGACUAACAUCUCAUUAUCCCCCACAAAUACUGGUCUCACUAAUGUUCCUUGAAGAGCUUGUUUUCCAGCUUCCAUAACUUUGCUCUAAAUGCCCACCCUCCUUGGCAAUACUUUCCCUCCUUCACCUAUCCUCCACCCAGCUUUCAGGGUUGGGGUCAGAUCCCAUGAGGCACUUACUGAUCUCUUUGUCUCAUGGUAAUUGUUGCCUCCUCUGUCCCACUCAUCUGGCAUUAAUCUUAUGCUGCCUUAUAUCUCUUAAAGGCUAUCCACCUUAACACAUAUAUAUAUCUAACUUCCCCAGUCCAGCCUGUGAGACGAAGGCAGGUGGGGGCAUGUUUCAUAUUUUAUGUGCUUUGGUGCCUUCUACUCAAGAUAUACUUGCUGACUGACCCAUUCACCAAUUCUGAAGUCUUUGGUUAUAUACUCUCUUAAUCUUGGACUUUCCACACUGAAAAGUUCUAAGUUUUAAAGUCUACUGUUGGAGAUUUCUUGAAUCCUGUGAUCAUUUUAAUUAUUCUCAUUGAUCUUUUGCAGAGCUUCUCUACAUCAUUACAUCUUUUUUAUAAUUACAGCAAUGAAGAAGUCCUUGAGGGAUUUUAGGUACUGACAAUGAUGUUGACCAAGAAUAGAACAGAGCCAUCAAUUUUGUUUCAACUACUUUUUGGUUAGUGCCUGACACUCUAAUGGCUUUGUGAUACUGAUAUGACUUAGGUUCCUUUCCUGGUUUUCUGGUUUGUUACUGAUACAUUUAACUGCAUCAAUCAAUGAGUAAGUCCAGCACUGAUUUUCCCCAAAUAUAUCACUUUAUAUGAGUCCUUACAGCUUGCUAUGCCCUUCCCUUAUUUUUGGUAAAUACUUUAAUAGCAGAAUUAAGAAAUUUAGUACUCAACAUACAUGGUCCAGAAUGGCAAUAAGGAGGAGUGAUCUAUAUAAAGGAAGGAAAUAUGAGAAAAGUGGGAAUAUUGGGUAAGACUCACAUCAAUUAUUUUCAGAGGUGCAGGAUAAAGGCCUUUAGUCUGCUUUCGCACUUUUUCUUCCACUUUUUUGUAAACCUGUUGCCUGACAAAUGGAAUAGUCAUGGCAUACGCUGUCAAUUCUGUAAAAUAAAAUGCUUUUAGAUAUUUACUAUAAAGAGCCUAGAUUCCCUUGUUAGUUUAUGCUCUAAACUCUAUAAAAAUGAAGUAAUUCUAGCUAUCUGCAAGAACUGCUCUUUAUUCUGAUACACACAAUAUAAAUUUCAACCUAAGCACUACCUUAAACAUGCUAAGUGAUGAAUGUUAAAGCUGGGCCUUGGGUACAUGAGUGUUUAUAACACUGUUAUCUAGUCUUUUUGUGUUCAUGCUUAACAUUUUCUAAAAUGAAAAGUUUUCUAUGACUCAAGGGUCAUCAUAAGGAAAAAAAAGGUUUUAAAAAUUGGCUUUAACUGGAUAGUGUAAAGUUGAGGAGUUGUUACAUCUCCUACCUAAGGCUGACUUUAUGCUUUGAGUAAAUAAUGCAUUUACCACUUCCUCAUUUUGAAUCUACAGCAAAUAAAAUUAAAUUCUCAGG
rnacentral:lncRNA from 10 species